AUUGAACGCUGGCGGCAGGCCUAACACAUGCAAGUCGAGCGGUAGCACAGGAGAGCUUGCUCUCUGGGUGACGAGCGGCGGACGGGUGAGUAAUGUCUGGGAAACUGCCUGAUGGAGGGGGAUAACUACUGGAAACGGUAGCUAAUACCGCAUAAUGUCGCAAGACCAAAGAGGGGGACCUUCGGGCCUCUUGCCAUCAGAUGUUCCCAGAUGGGAUUAGCUAGUAGGUGGGGUAACGGCUCACCUAGGCGACGAUCCCUAGCUGGUCUGAGAGGAUGACCAGCCACACUGGAACUGAGACACGGUCCAGACUCCUACGGGAGGCAGCAGUGGGGAAUAUUGCACAAUGGGCGCAAGCCUGAUGCAGCCAUGCCGCGUGUAUGAAGAAGGCCUUCGGGUUGUAAAGUACUUUCAGCGAGGAGGAAGGCAUUGUGGUUAAUAACCACAGUGAUUGACGUUACUCGCAGAAUAAGCACCGGCUAACUCUGUGCCAGCCGCCGCGGUAA
rnacentral:rRNA from 1 species